rnacentral:rRNA from 1 species
UACGUAGGGUCCGAGCGUUGUCCGGAAUUAUUGGGCGUAAAGGGCUCGUAGGCGGUUUUGUCGCGUCGGGAGUGAAAACCUACAGCUUAACUGUGGGCUUGCUUUCGAUACGGGGCAGACUUGAGGCAUGCAGGGGGAGAACGGAAUUCCUGGUGUAGCGGUGAAAUGCGCAGAUAUCAGGAAGAACACCAAUGGCGAAGGCAGCUCUCUGGGACGGUACUGACGCUGAGACGCGAAAGCGUGGGGAGCGAACAGG